CAAUAGCGUAUAUUAAAGUUGUUGCGGUUAAAAAGCUCGUAGUUGGAUUUCUGCUGAGGACGACCGGUCCGCCCUCUGGGUGAGUAUCUGGUUCGGCCUGGGCAUCUUCUUGGAGAGCGUAGCUGCACUUGACUGUGUGGUGCGGUAUCCAGGACUUUUACUUUGAGGAAAUUAGAGUGUUUCAAGCAGGCAUUUGCCUUGAAUACAUUAGCAUGGAAUAAUAAGAUAGGACCUCGUCCCUACCUUGUUGGUUCGUAUGGAUGAGGUAAUGAUUAAUAGGGAUAGUCGGGGCGAUUCGUGACUUAAACUGUCAGAGGUGAAAUUCUUGGAUUUGUUAAAGACGGACUACUGCGAAAAGCAUUUGCCAAGGAUGUUUUUCAUUGACAAGAACGAAAGUUAGGGGAUCGAAGAUGAUUAGAUACCA
rnacentral:rRNA from 1 species